rnacentral:rRNA from 2 species
GGGUUGUGAGGUUAAGCGACUAAGCGUACACGGUGGAUGCCCUGGCAGUCAGAGGCGAUGAAGGGCGUACUAAUCUGCGAUAAGCGCCGGUAAGGUGAUAUGAACCGUUAUAACCGGCGAUACCCGAAUGGGGAAACCCAGUGUGAUUCGUCACACUAUCAUUAACUGAAUCCAUAGGUUAAUGAGGCGAACCGGGGGAACUGAAACAUCUAAGUACCCCGAGGAAAAGAAAUCAACCGAGAUUCCCCCAGUAGCGGCGAGCGAACGGGGAGGAGCCCAGAGCCUGAAUCAGCAUGUGUGUUAGUGGAAGCGUCUGGAAAGGCGCGCGAUACAGGGUGACAGCCCCGUACACAAAAGCGCAUGUGCUGUGAGCUCGAUGAGUAGGGCGGGACACGUGGUAUCCUGUCUGAAUAUGGGGGGACCAUCCUCCAAGGCUAAAUACUCCUGACUGACCGAUAGUGAACCAGUACCGUGAGGGAAAGGCGAAAAGAACCCCGGCGAGGGGAGUGAAAAAGAACCUGAAACCGUGUACGUACAAGCAGUGGGAGCACNNNNNNNNNNGUGUGACUGCGUACCUUUUGUAUAAUGGGUCAGCGACUUAUAUUCUGUAGCAAGGUUAACCGAAUAGGGGAGCCGGAGGGAAACCGAGUCUUAAUUGGGCGUUAAGUUGCAGGGUAUAGACCCGAAACCCGGUGAUCUAGCCAUGGGCAGGUUGAAGGUUGGGUAACACUAACUGGAGGACCGAACCGACUAAUGUUGAAAAAUUAGCGGAUGACCUGUGGCUGGGGGUGAAAGGCCAAUCAAACCGGGAGAUAGCUGGUUCUCCCCGAAAGCUAUUUAGGUAGCGCCUCGUGAAUUCAUCUCCGGGGGUAGAGCACUGUUUCGGCUAGGGGGCCAUCCCGGCUUACCAACCCGAUGCAAACUGCGAAUACCGGAGAAUGUUAUCACGGGAGACACACGGCGGGUGCUAACGUCCGUCGUGAAGAGGGAAACAACCCAGACCGCCAGCUAAGGUCCCAAAGUCAUGGUUAAGUGGGAAACGAUGUGGGAAGGCCCAGACAGCCAGGAUGUUGGCUUAGAAGCAGCCAUCAUUUAAAGAAAGCGUAAUAGCUCACUGGUCGAGUCGGCCUGCGCGGAAGAUGUAACGGGGCUAAACCAUGCACCGAAGCUGCGGCAGCGACACUGUGUGUUGUUGGGUAGGGGAGCGUUCUGUAAGCCUGCGAAGGUGGCCUGUGAGGGUUGCUGGAGGUAUCAGAAGUGCGAAUGCUGACAUAAGUAACGAUAAAGCGGGUGAAAAGCCCGCUCGCCGGAAGACCAAGGGUUCCUGUCCAACGUUAAUCGGGGCAGGGUGAGUCGACCCCUAAGGCGAGGCCGAAAGGCGUAGUCGAUGGGAAACGGGUUAAUAUUCCCGUACUUGGUGUUACUGCGAAGGGGGGACGGAGAAGGCUAUGUUGGCCGGGCGACGGUUGUCCCGGUUUAAGCGUGUAGGUGUGUGUUCCAGGUAAAUCCGGUUCACUUUAACACUGAGGCGUGACGACGAGGCACUACGGUGCUGAAGCAACAAAUGCCCUGCUUCCAGGAAAAGCCUCUAAGCAUCAGGUAACAUCAAAUCGUACCCCAAACCGACACAGGUGGUCAGGUAGAGAAUACCAAGGCGCUUGAGAGAACUCGGGUGAAGGAACUAGGCAAAAUGGUGCCGUAACUUCGGGAGAAGGCACGCUGACACGUAGGUGAAGUGAUUUACUCAUGGAGCUGAAGUCAGUCGAAGAUACCAGCUGGCUGCAACUGUUUAUUAAAAACACAGCACUGUGCAAACACGAAAGUGGACGUAUACGGUGUGACGCCUGCCCGGUGCCGGAAGGUUAAUUGAUGGGGUCAGCGCAAGCGAAGCUCCUGAUCGAAGCCCCGGUAAACGGCGGCCGUAACUAUAACGGUCCUAAGGUAGCGAAAUUCCUUGUCGGGUAAGUUCCGACCUGCACGAAUGGCGUAAUGAUGGCCAGGCUGUCUCCACCCGAGACUCAGUGAAAUUGAACUCGCUGUGAAGAUGCAGUGUACCCGCGGCAAGACGGAAAGACCCCGUGAACCUUUACUAUAGCUUGACACUGAACAUUGAGCCUUGAUGUGUAGGAUAGGUGGGAGGCUUUGAAGUGUGGACGCCAGUCUGCAUGGAGCCGACCUUGAAAUACCACCCUUUAAUGUUUGAUGUUCUAACGUGGACCCGUUACCCGGGUUGCGGACAGUGUCUGGUGGGUAGUUUGACUGGGGCGGUCUCCUCCUAAAGAGUAACGGAGGAGCACGAAGGUUGGCUAAUCCUGGUCGGACAUCAGGAGGUUAGUGCAAUGGCAUAAGCCAGCUUGACUGCGAGCGUGACGGCGCGAGCAGGUGCGAAAGCAGGUCAUAGUGAUCCGGUGGUUCUGAAUGGAAGGGCCAUCGCUCAACGGAUAAAAGGUACUCCGGGGAUAACAGGCUGAUACCGCCCAAGAGUUCAUAUCGACGGCGGUGUUUGGCACCUCGAUGUCGGCUCAUCACAUCCUGGGGCUGAAGUAGGUCCCAAGGGUAUGGCUGUUCGCCAUUUAAAGUGGUACGCGAGCUGGGUUUAGAACGUCGUGAGACAGUUCGGUCCCUAUCUGCCGUGGGCGCUGGAGAACUGAGGGGGGCUGCUCCUAGUACGAGAGGACCGGAGUGGACGCAUCACUGGUGUUCGGGUUGUCAUGCCAAUGGCACUGCCCGGUAGCUAAAUGCGGAAGAGAUAAGUGCUGAAAGCAUCUAAGCACGAAACUUGCCCCGAGAUGAGUUCUCCCUGAGACUUAAAGUCUCCUGAAGGAACGUUGAAGACGACGACGUUGAUAGGCCGGGUGUGUAAGCGCAGCGAUGCGUUGAGCUAACCGGUACUAAUGAACCGUGAGGCUUAACCUUACAACGCCGAAG